CCCUUAGAUGUCCUGGGCCGCACGCGCGUUACACUGAUGCAUUCAACGAGCUUAUAACCUUGGCCGAGAGGCCUGGGCAAUCUUGUUAACGUGCAUCGUGAUAGGGAUAGAUUAUUGAAAUUAUUAAUCUUGAAUGAGGAAUUCCUAGUAAACGCGGAUCAUCAAUCUGCAUUGAUUACGUCCCUGCCCUUUGUACACACCGCCCGUCGCACCUACCGAUUGGAUGGUCCGGUGAAGCCUCGGGAUUGUGGUUCUUGCCGCUUUAUUGUGGCGUGACCGCGAGAACUUGUCUAAACCUUAUCAUCUAGAGGAAGGUGAAGUCGUAACA
rnacentral:rRNA from 1 species